rnacentral:RNase_P_RNA from 1 species
CCGGGCUUCAUAGGGCAGGAUGCCGGUUAACGGCCGGUGGAGGAAACUCUAAGGAAAGUGCAACAGAAAUAUACCGCCAGUUUUUACUGGUAAGGGUGGAAUGGCAGUGUAAGAGACUACCGCCUUUCUGGUAACAGAGAGGGCACAUGUAAACCCCAUUCGAAGCAAGACCGAAUAAAAGCGCUGACGUGGCCCGCCAGCUUUAGGUAGGUCGCUUGAGAUGGCUGGCGACAGUCAUCCUAGAUAGAUGAUCACUCAACGACAUAACCCGGCUUAUCGUUCUGCUG